rnacentral:rRNA from 1 species
GUGAGGAAUAUUGCGCAAUGGAGGCAACUCUGACGCAGCCAUGCCGCGUGCAGGAAGAAGGCGCUACGCGUUGUAAACUGCUUUUAACCGGGAAGAAACCCCAGGACGUGUCCUGGGUUGACGGUACCGGAGGAAUAAGCACCGGCUAACUUCGUGCCAGCAGCCGCGGUAAUACGAAGGGUGCAAGCGUUAUCAGGAUUCAUUGGGUUUAAAGGGUGCGUAGGCGGAGCGUUAAGUCAGUGGUGAAAUCCUGCAGCUUAACUGUAGACUUGCCAUUGAUACUGGCGCUCUUGAGUGCGCUUGAAGUGGGCGGAAUGUGCCGUGUAGCGGUGAAAUGCUUAGAUAUGGCACAGAACACCAAUUGCGAAGGCAGCUCACUAAGGCGAUACUGACGCUGAGGCACGAAAGCGUGGGGAUCGAACAGGAUUAGAAACCCGUGUAGUCC